UACGGAGGGUGCAAGCGUUAUCCGGAUUCACUGGGUUUAAAGGGUGCGUAGGCGGGUAGGUAAGUCAGUGGUGAAAUCCUAGAGCUUAACUCUAGAACUGCCAUUGAUACUAUCUAUCUUGAAUAUUGUGGAGGUAAGCGGAAUAUGUCAUGUAGCGGUGAAAUGCUUAGAUAUGACAUAGAACACCUAUUGCGAAGGCAGCUUACUACGCAUAUAUUGACGCUGAGGCACGAAAGCGUGGGGAUCAAACAGG
rnacentral:rRNA from 1 species